CUCUCUUUGGUCUUGUGUGAUGGGGGCCUUUGAGACCCCAGCUGUGUGCUAACAACUGUGGUGUCCUCUAGGUGUGCUGGGCAUCAAGGUGAAGAUCAUGCUGCCCUGGGACCCAACUGGUAAGAUUGGCCCUAAGAAGCCCCUGCCUGACCACGUGAGCAUUGUGGAACCCAAAGAUGAGAUACUGCCCACCACCCCCAUCUCAGAACAGAAGGGUGGGAAGCCAGAGCCGCCUGCCAUGCCCCAGCCAGUCCCCACAGCAUAACAGGGUCUCCUUGGCAGCUGUAUUCUGGAGUCUGGAUGUUGCUCUCUAAAGACCUUUAAUAAAAUCUUGUACAAAGACACAAGGUCUGACUAGACUGUUCAGUAUUCAGACUGAGGGGCAUGUUGGCCUCUGGAGCAUUACAUAUCUUCUUGGUUUUAACCAUACUUGUGGUAUUUGCAAGGGCCAGAACAGUAAGACCCAAGCAGAGCCAACCAGAGAAACAAUAUUUGUGUGAUAGAGAAGGCUGAUAGCAAGCAAGGCAGCACCUUGAUUCGUUGUCCUGUAGUUCAGGAUUGUAGGUUUAGAAGUGGGAUAUGUUUGAGUUUUUCCUAUGCAUAAGGCGAUCCACGUUGCACAUAGAAAGUGAAUAUAAAUGGCCAUUAUAUUUUGUGUCAUGCUGUGCUCUAAGUGUUCUUUACAUAUGUACUUGUUAAUCAACCUCUCUAAAGUGUAAAGGAAAUUUGCUUGCACCACUGAAGGCACGUAAGGCUCAGAAGUAAAUUUGCCUAAGCAGUAUAAAGCUAUCAUUAGAAUCCACAUUCCUAAGUUGUGUUCUCUUAGGGGAUCAUGGAACCAGUCAUUGGUACUACAGGCUGUUAUGUUCUGGAGAACUGUAAAGAACAUUUAAAUUGUCUCUGAUUUUAUCUAUCAAUGUUUUGAAGUAUUUUCUACCAGUGUCUGUACUUCACAAGAAAUUCGGCACUAUUUUUUAAGGCAAAACUAGUGAGGGACAGGUUGGCUUGAAAAUCAUGAGACUGAUGUUAAAUCAGAUGCUGGUUGAUCACAGAGGGGACUUACAGGGAAAGCUGUUACGGGCCUGGAAGGCCUAAUCAGGUGGCUGCUUCCUGGUGAUGCAGCCUGGCUGAUGAGAUAACCUUGGCUCCAUAGAUGGCUUAGCAGGUGCUGUGAUGAUUUGGUUGUCUUCUCAAUUAGACUGAGCUGCACAUGGUGUUUAUAUUGCUUGGCACAUGGUAAGGGCUUAAUAUUUGAGGUAAUUAUGUAGGGCGCACACUGACAAGUAUCUGACCCCCCCUUCCUUUUUGACUCAUAAAUUGGUCAUCUUAACCAUUUAAGUGUACACUUCUAUAGUGACAGAGUCAGCCCUCUGUCCAAGGGAUUUGCAUCUGUGGAUUCAACCAACUUUGGGUCAAAAAUAAUCAAAAAGGAUGGUUGUGUGUGUAUUGAAC
rnacentral:lncRNA from 1 species